UGCNGUCGAACGGCAGCACAGGGGAGCUUGCUCCCUGGGUGGCGAGUGGCGGACGGGUGAGUAAAGCAUCGGGACCUACCCAGACGUGGGGGAUAACCUCGGGAAACCGGGACUAAUACCGCAUACGUCCUACGGGAGAAAGCGGGGGACCUUCGGGCCUCGCGCGGUUGGACGGACCGAUGUGCGAUUAGCUAGUUGGUAGGGUAAUGGCCUACCAAGGCGACGAUCGCUAGCUGGUCUGAGAGGAUGAUCAGCCACACUGGGACUGAGACACGGCCCAGACUCCUACGGGAGGCAGCAGUGGGGAAUAUUGGACAAUGGGCGAAAGCCUGAUCCAGCAAUGCCGCGUGUGUGAAGAAGGCCUUCGGGUUGUAAAGCACUUUUAUCAGGAACGAAAUACCGCCGGAUAAUACCUGGCGGGGCUGACGGUACCUGAGGAAUAAGCACCGGCUAACUUCGUGCCAGCAGCCGCGGUAAUACGAAGGGUGCAAGCGUUAAUCGGAAUUACUGGGCGUAAAGGGUGCGUAGGCGGUUGUUUAAGUCUGUCGUGAAAUCCCCGGGCUCAACCUGGGAAUGGCGAUGGAUACUGGGCAGCUAGAGUGUGUCAGAGGAUGGUGGAAUUCCCGGUGUAGCGGUGAAAUGCGUAGAGAUCGGGAGGAACAUCAGUGGCGAAGGCGGCCAUCUGGGACAACACUGACGCUGAAGCACGAAAGCGUGGGGGGCAAGCAGGAUUAGAUACCCUGGUAGUCCACGCCCUAAACGAUGCGAACUGGAUGUUGGUCUCAACUCGGANAUCAGUGUCGAAGCUAACGCGUUAAGUUCGCCGCCUGGGGAGUACGGUCGCAAGACUGAAACUCAAAGGAAUUGACGGGGGCCCGCACAAGCGGUGGAGUAUGUGGUUNAAUUCGAUGCAACGCNAA
rnacentral:rRNA from 1 species